UACGGAGGGGGCUAGCGUUGUCCGGAAUUAUUGGGCGUAAAGAGCUCGUAGGCGGCUUGUCACGUCGAUUGUGAAAGCCCGAGGCUUAACCUCGGGUCUGCAGUCGAUACGGGCUAGCUAGAGUGUGGUAGGGGAGAUCGGAAUUCCUGGUGUAGCGGUGAAAUGCGCAGAUAUCAGGAGGAACACCGGUGGCGAAGGCGGAUCUCUGGGCCAUUACUGACGCUGAGGAGCGAAAGCGUGGGGAGCGAACAGG
rnacentral:rRNA from 1 species